GAUGAACGCUAGCUACAGGCUUAACACAUGCAAGUCGAGGGGUAACGAGAGGAAAGCUUGCUUUCCUUGUCGACGACCGGCGCACGGGUGAGUAACGCGUAUCCAACCUGCCCCCAACUAGGGAAUAACCUUGCGAAAGUAAGACUAAUACCCUAUAAUUUCCUCAGAUGUCAUCUGACGAGGAAUAAAGAUUUAUCGGUUGUGGAUGGGGAUGCGUCUGAUUAGCUUGUUGGCGGGGUAACGGCCCACCAAGGCAACGAUCAGUAGGGGUUCAGAGAGGAAGGUCCCCCACAUUGGAAUUGAGACACGGUCCAAACUACUACGGGAGGCAGCAGUGAGGAAUAUUGGUCAAUGGGCGGAAGCCUGAACCAGCCAAGUAGCGUGCAGGAUGACGGCCCUAUGGGUCGUAAACUGCUUUUAUACAGGAAUAAAGUUAGCCACGUGUGGUUAUUUGUAGGUACUGUAUGAAUAAGGACCGGCUAAUUCCGUGCCAGCCGCCGCCGUAA
rnacentral:rRNA from 1 species